CUUUUUCUUCCCGGCUCUCGGCCGCCAUCCUUUUCCCACAGCCGCUCCGGAUAUAAGCACAGCGCUUGCCACACAGAGUGAGACAACCUCACUUGGUGACGAGGAACGUGGAAGCAAGUGACAGAAAAGAUCCAACAACGAUCCAGCAAGAAAAAAAAUAUUCUCAGUGGCUAUCCAGCCAAAAUGGAGUCUCCCUUCAGAAUCCACUUCUUCCUCCCCCUCCUCCUUCCUCUUCUCCGUCCUGACUUCCUACGCGACAAUUCUCUCGCUCCCACAAUGCUCUACGCGACGGGCGCAAUAAGUCACAAGUCUUGGCGUCAGCGGAAGUGGCGGUUCGCAUCAUAGUGGGGGAGGCGGCAGAGCUGUACGCAGGGAUGUCAGUUCUUUUCACGAUGGAGACCCUGAAAGCCUGCAAAUUCCUCUUGAUGUGAAGUGAAAGCCGCCUAGUGAGAUCACGCCAAGCACUUUAGGAUAGGUAGCCCUUAAAAGGAUGAAAAGACAACAGUUUGACUGAUUUUUUUCAAUAAGAAACCAAAAUCGGAAUCAGUUGUAUCAGAAUUGGCCUUGGGUGGUACAGUCACAAGCACAACUGCACCAACUUGAAAGCUGCAUGUCAAUUAUUGAAAUAAAAACCGAUAAAGACUCCAAAAUUGAAAAUAGUCUUAAUGUUGGGCAGCGGGACAAUAUAACAAUUUUAAAGAAAAAUAUGACAGACUGGUAAUGUGUAACAAAAAGGUUGCGAGUGACUUCACAAAAGGGAAAAGUGUUCAUGUGUCAAAAGAAUGGUAAUGUUUUCGGAUUGAGGCAUCGGAAAAAUAAAGAGGUACAACAAGCUUCUCUAAGGGAAAAAAAUGAAAACAUUUUUCAUCAAAAGUUCCUAUUACAUUUGUAAAGAGACAAUGAAACGUGAGCAGGAUUCAAUAACAAAAAUAAUAGAUACGAUGAAUGAGAAAUAUUUACAUUAUUACUUGUAGAGUAUUUAAUUCAGUUUUCAGACUGGCAAAAAGAUGUAAACAUAGAAGAUGUAGACAUAAAAGAUGAUAGAAGUGCAAAUUUAAAAUGGAUUAGUUAUGGGAAUAGCAUUACAUUCAGAUAAAACUGCUUGAAAGUAGUUGAUUUCAUUGCAGAGGAAAUUAAAAAAGAAAUAUUUACUAAAAUUAUUGAAAAUAAUCUGAAAAGAUGUUUGAUUAUUGAUGAAGCUUCAACGAUAUCUUGCAAACCAGUUAUACUUUUCUUAAAAGUUGAGGAUUUAGUUACAUCACCAACAAUUUUUGUUGAGCUAGUUGAAUUGGAAAAACAAGAUGCAGAGACAAUAUGUUCUUCAGUUAUAGAAAGUUUAAAUAAUGUUGGGUUUACUAAGAACUACAUAGAGAAAAAUGUAUUAGGAUUGUGCUCCAAUGGUGCCAGUGUUAUGUUUGGGAGAAAAUCUGGAGUGAGCACUAGGAUAGCAAAAGAGUUUCCAAACAUAAUAAAAUGUCACUGUUUAA